ensembl:lncRNA
UGUGGACUCUAGGCUGUCAGGGAACACAUGGCCGACAGUUAUGGUCCCUGCUGAAUUUCUGCUUUACAGAGUGAUUGUAGCACACACUGUCUUUGCAUCACAAAACAAAAUCAUCUCUCUCUCUCUCUCUCUCUCUCUCUCUCUCUCUCUCUCUCUCUCCAUCUCUCUUUCUGUCUAUCUCUUGCUUUCUGUCUCUCUUUGUCUCCUCAAUUCCAGAAGUUUCUCCAUAAUUACAAGGCUGAAUCAAAAAGGAAGCUUUAUCGACUAAAAGGCACAUCCAUCAUCCUCCCAAGUACGAUUCCUCCUAUAACUGUGGCAGCAUACAUGGCCUGCAGGAACAAUGUGGCUGUUUUUUCAUUCCUGGUUUAUGUUAUGAUUGUCAGUAGAAAUAUUCAUUAGCAUGAAAUAUUAUCAAAUUUGACAACAUCCCUGUUUUGUUCUGUAUUAUAAACACAUGGUCAUGAAGGAGGAGUAGCGGAAAGUGCUUCAUGUUAUAUAUGUGCCGUUUCUCUGAGCAUAGCGCGGUCUAAUGUACUCUGAACCUGAGUAUUUGUGUGUGUUUGGCAGGCGUGGCACUGCAGCAGUGAUGGAGAGAAGGAGAGAAAGAGAAAAAGAAAGAGAAAGAGAAAGAGAAAAAGCAAGGUCCCCUUUCUUUUAAGCUCAGCUCACUUGGCUCUGUACAUCCUGAAGCACAAGACAGGAGGGGGAAGGAAGAAAGGACAAGAGAGGUGAGGACAGAAAGAUGACACAGAAAUAAAGGAUGAGCAGGACAGAAAGUUGUUGAAUGCAGGAGGAUGAGAGAAACACACCGGAUCACUCAAAAUGCAAAUGAUUCAACUAAAAGGCACAAUUAAUAUCCGUUAAGAAUAUAUAUUAAAAUUUGGAAAUUUUCUAUGAAAAUGAAUUAACUCAGUUCAGCAAGACUGACUGACUUGACACUUCCAACACAAUGAAAUCCAAUCUUUAUGAAAUAUCUUAAAUAUAGAGAAACAUAUACAACAAUAUUCAGGAGCCCAAAUAAGCUGUUACCAUUUAGAGCUACUGCUCAUCCGGCAUAUCGAUCCAGAGCUAAAAUGCUGUUUUUAUGCAUUACGCUGUCUGUCUUCCUCACGCUAGCAGACAAAGAGCAAGCAACGGUGGUGCAUUAGGAAGUCUAUUAAAACUCUACAUUUCUUAAUUAGCCCUACUAAGAUUAUGUCUUUCCCUGUGGGCUCCACAAAAUGCAAGUCAUUCUGCAGUGCCUCCACCCUUCAUGCCCACCAUCAUCAUCACCAUCAUCACCAUCAUCAUCAGUCGCAGCAGCAGGGGGACAAAAACAGACUUUUCUGUCUGAAGCUGCAUAUUAAAUUAUAUCAUCCAUUCAGAUUUAUAGGAGGCUGAAAGCACCUAAGGAUUGGUAAGAAGCAAUCAUGUAAAAGUCACGUACAUAGUAUUCAAUUAAACAUCAACACCACACACACCAUUAACUUAUAUGUAAUGAUUAACAAUUAUUGCAACCAAUGGGGUGCUAAAUAUGAUGAUCGGGAUCACUCACUUCCACAAUUUAUUAUGCAUUUUGCAAUUGAGGAAAAUUAUAUAUUGACAUUUAUAUGUCUGUUAAAGCAUCUAACAUAUUAGGUAGGUAUGAAAGUGUGACAAUGCUUUUAAAAUGGCUGUCAUUUUAAUUACUCCCAAGAAAUGUUGAAAGCCAUUUAUAUGUAGUCUAUAAAACUGGAUUAGAGCAAUUACAUUGAGCCAUACAAAAACAUCAAAAAUCACUUUGUGAAUAGAAGAAAUGUCACUAGGUUAAUAAAAACAGACCAUGAGUUAAAAAGAGUUAAAUACUUAAUAUUAAGGCAAAUGAGAGUUAAAUUAAUAAACAUAGCAGCACAUAUGAAUUUCUUCAAGCAUAUGGCCAUUGAUAAAUUUCCUGUUGAGGCUAGCAGUGUUUGACUUUCUUAAAAAAACAAUCUACAUUCUCUUCUAUAGUGGAAAAUCACACAUAGUCAAUACAAGCAGGGUGAUUUAGUUGGGAUGGACUAAAGGGCUCAUGGUGUAUUUGAUUGAUUUGAGUGUGAGCACAGCAAAGAUUAGGAGGGCAAUUGAAGGAAGGAAAGAAAGAAAGAAAGAAAGAAAGAACGAAAAAAUAAAGAAAGGAGGCACACUGUCAGUGUGGUGUUUCCUGAAAAGAGAAAUUGGCAGGCUAGGGUUACCCUACCAUUCAUUCUCUCUCUCUCUCUCUCUCUCUCUCUCUCUCUCUCUCUCUCUCUCUCUCUCUCUCUUUCACACACACAUACACACAAUGGCCACGUGGCCACUCUUCUGUCUGUCAUGCUACACAAAGAGAAGAAAGAAAAAUACAACAGUCUUUAACAGAGAAAACAGCUGUUGUACACUUUAUUGAAGCUGUUACGCAGCCUGACACUACAGGAAAAUUAAUUGUGAACUACAUGUGAUACAAAACAAAUUUCUUAUAAUUACAAUCAGUUAUUUUAAGACUUGUAAUAUUAUUUACAUUAUUCCUGUAGAUGAUUAUAUUACUAACAAUCCUACGUAGAAUAAGGCAUGAAAUUAAUUUCGAAUUUUAGACAUCAGGAAAUGCUGAAAAUCAAUUGGUUUGACCUCCUACAGCUUUAGAAACACUUAGUUUCCACAACUUAAACACGUUUAUUUAAAGUUUUGUUUUGUCUGAAGCUUUAAUGUAUUAUGCGCAAUAUCAUAAAUAUAGGCUACAUACAUCAAAUAAAUCAAAAUCUAGUAUAUAUAUAUAUUUCAGAAUAAAAAGACAUAUGAUUGUAAGAGGAUACAUUUGUAGCAUCUGCAUCUUAUGAACAAUUAGACCAAAUACAUUUUUGUUUAUAUUUUCUGAGCAUGUUUUUGUAUCUAGCCUGUAUUUUUCCUAAUGUCUUAAAUCAAUUCCUAAUGAAUUAAAAAGAUACAUCACUCAAAACAUGUUUGGAUCUAAUUGUUGUGUAUAUUGUAUUUUCAGUGAGUACAUCCAUUCACAUACUUUUUACAACUUCAAUUCCUUUCUAGAAGAUAUGACUUUUAGAUGCUUACUAGGUGGCAAAAAAAAACUCUGCAAUUUAUAGUCUGGAAAAUGCAGUAAUUGGAAUUGUAAUCUCAUAUAUUCUGUGUUAUUUCUUGACUAUAUGAUACUUUCCAACAUUGCACACUGUUGCCAUACAGCAACCAUUUACCAACAACCCCCUCCCUCCCCCAAAAUGUUUAAAAUGUUUUAAAAUUUAUAGAUUUUUUAAAUCCAUAAAACAUUUUUUUAUGUAAAUGUAAUAAUAACUCAUGCAGUAGAGGGUUUAAAGAACAAGGAGCACAAAUGAAAAACUGUUUAGGAAGCUCAUUUCAAGACUGCCGUUUGUCAAUUAAUCUAUAAUACAGGUUAAGUUUCAUUUUCGAUGCCUGUCAAUGUUUUCCAGAAAUGCAAUGGUUUAUAUAAACAGAAAUAGAUGUCUGACAAGGAUAAAUUUACAUAAAAUGGCAAAAAAAAGUGUAUAUAAUUUCCAUUACAAGGCAACCCAUAAAUCAUGAACUAUCUGGGCAAUGACCAACAAAUCGAAAUAAUUCUACUCAAUGGAGAUCAAAGUCAAUUUUAAAAAGCACAGGUAUACACAAGGAAAAUGAGGAAUGAAGCAUCUACCACUGUGUGUUUAACACUAAUAAACAUAGUUUAUUGAGUGGAUAUUAUUGAGUGAAUGUCUAAAUUUGUGCACUGAGAAAAAUGUUGGACAUAUUUACCAAGUUCUGUAAAUAUGUUAUUUAAUCUGUAAAGAGUUUUUUCAAAAUUUUCUCCUAUGAUGCUGGACUUAUAAGACACCAUAAAUAAUACCUCAAAAAUGCAGGGUAAAUUGUAGUUUUAUUAAAUAAAGCAUUAAAACGAGUUACAAUUUUUCUCUCUUUUUUUUUUUUUUUUUAACUUACUGUACAACGGGGUGUUGGAAGCUUACGACUACAGUAAAGAACCAGCAUCUCCCUGUGGCACUAUGGAGAAAAAAAAAGGAAAAAAGAACAUUACAAAGCAUGUGGAUUUGAUAAACACUUUUCUCAGCCCUUUCCUUUAUAACACUGAACAUUUUAUUGCAACUUUAAAUGAAAAAGAAUUCAUAAGUUGGUCCGUAUAUUAUUUUCCUCUACUCUGUGAUCUAGUGAUCUGUUUUUAAGUUCAUCUUAAUCCACUUUAUUAGCAACUCAUCUUAAAUUUGGCUACAUGAUUUCAAUUCUAGAAACAUGUAAUAUUGGGAAUAUUGCUUAAAGAAAUGCUUGGCACCUAGGCACCUACACACGCACACGCACAUGCACACACACACACACGAUGAACUGAGAACAGUGACAAUAAAUCAUCUUCAGUGAAAAGCUUGAGAAAUUGAUUAAGAGGAAACAGUGGAGAUGAAGGAAGACAGAGAUAGACAUGCAGAAAGAAAGCUGAUUAAUAAGGCGAGAGAGGAGAUGAGUCACUGAGAGGUAUUUAGGUGGUGUAGUUCUGCUUUUCACAGUGUGCUGAUGGGUGGACAGCAAGCAGGUUCCUUUCACACAGAUAAUAGUGUCAUUAAUCAAGCGGUCAGUGCCUGGGCUCAUUAUCGCAUGUAGGCUGUAUGAUUAUGCUCAUUGAUUAGACUGAAAAAAAUUGGCUGUUUUUCUAACCUGGCUCAUUUGCUCGUGUUUUGGCUGGAUUGUUUAAUAAUGACUAAUAGAUUAGAGGAGGAGAGCUGACAAACUAGAGUUUGAAUAAUGAUCUUUUUAUUGGGAGUGUUAAGACCUACCCUAGCAGGAUCAAAUGUACCAUUUUUAUUUGAAAAUUAUUUAUGUAUGAACAUAUAUACAAUUACUAUAUGUAUGUAUGUAUGUAUGUAUAUAUGUAUCUCUCUCUCACU